AAUUUUGGACAAUGGGCGCAAGCCUGAUCCAGCCAUGCCGCGUGAGUGAAGAAGGCCUUCUGGUUGUAAAGCUCUUUCGUUCGGAAAGAAAUCGCACCGGCUAAUACCCUGCCGGGAUGACCGUACCGCAAUGAGAAGCACCCGCUAACUACGUGCCAGCGACCCCGGUAAUCCGUAGGGUGCGAGCGUUAAUCGGAAUUACUGGGCGUAAAGCGUGCGCAGGCGGGUGAUUAAGACAGGCGUGAAAUCCCCGGGCUUAACCUGGGAACUGCGCUUGUGACUGGUCAGCUGGGGUACGGCAGAGGGGGGUGGAAUUCCACGUGUAGCAGUGAAAUGCGUAGAGAUGUGGAGGAACACCGAUGGCGAGGCAGCCCCCUGGGCCGAUACUGACGCUCAUGCACGAAAGCGUGGGUAGCAAACAGG
rnacentral:rRNA from 1 species